rnacentral:rRNA from 1 species
GAUGAACGCUGGCGGCGUGCCUAAUACAUGCAAGUCGAGCGAACAGAUGAGGAGCUUGCUCCUCUGACGUUAGCGGCGGACGGGUGAGUAACACGUGGAUAACCUACCUAUAAGACUGGGAUAACUUCGGGAAACCGGAACUAAUACCGGAUAAUAUAUUGAACCGCAUGGUUCAAUAGUGAAAGACGGUUUUGCUGUCACUUAUAGAUGGAUCCGCGCCGCAUUAGCUAGUUGGUAAGGUAACGGCUUACCAAGGCGACGAUGCGUAGCCGACCUGAGAGGGUGAUCGGCCACACUGGAACUGAGACACGGUCCAGACUCCUACGGGAGGCAGCAGUAGGGAAUCUUCCGCAAUGGGCGAAAGCCUGACGGAGCAACGCCGCGUGAGUGAUGAAGGUCUUCGGAUCGUAAAACUCUGUUAUUAGGGAAGAACAAAUGUGUAAGUAACUAUGCACGUCUUGACGGUACCUAAUCAGAAAGCCACGGCUAACUACGUG